GACGAACGUUGGCGGCGUGCCUAAUACAUGCAAGUUGAGCGCUGAAGGUUGGUACUUGUACCGACUGGAUGAGCAGCGAACGGGUGAGUAACGCGUGGGGAAUCUGCCUUUGAGCGGGGGACAACAUUUGGAAACGAAUGCUAAUACCGCAUAAAAACUUUAAACACAAGUUUUAAGUUUGAAAGAUGCAAUUGCAUCACUCAAAGAUGAUCCCGCGUUGUAUUAGCUAGUUGGUGAGGUAAAGGCUCACCAAGGCGAUGAUACAUAGCCGACCUGAGAGGGUGAUCGGCCACAUUGGGACUGAGACACGGCCCAAACUCCUACGGGAGGCAGCAGUAGGGAAUCUUCGGCAAUGGACGAAAGUCUGACCGAGCAACGCCGCGUGAGUGAAGAAGGUUUUCGGAUCGUAAAACUCUGUUGGUAGAGAAGAACGGUGGUGAGAGUGGAAAGCUCAUCAAGUGACGGUAACUACACAGAAAGGGACGGCUAACUACGUG
rnacentral:rRNA from 1 species